CCGCCAGAGAACUACGAGCUACAGCUUAAAACUCAAAGGACUUGGCGGUGCUCUACACCCACCUAGAGGAGCCUGUUCUAUAAUCGAUAACACCCGAUAAACCUCACCAUUUAUUGCCAAUACCGCCUAUAUACCGCCGUCGCAAGCUCACCCUUCAAGGGUAUAACAGUAAGCACAAUGAUAAACAUAAAAACGUCAGGUCAAGGUGUAGCAUAUUAAAUGGGAAGAAAUGGGCUACAUUUUCUAUUAGAAAAUACGAAAUACUUAAUGAAAUUAAAUAUGAAGGCGGAUUUAGUAGUAAAAAGAAAAUAGAGAGUUCUUUUUAAAUUGGUCCUGGAGCGCGC
rnacentral:rRNA from 1 species